rnacentral:rRNA from 1 species
CACGAACGCUGGCGGCAGGCUUAACACAUGCAAGUCGAGCGCCCCGCAAGGGGGGCGGCAGACGGGUGAGUAACGCGUGGGAAUCUACCCAUCUCUACGGAAUAACGCAUGGAAACGUGUGCUAAUACCGUAUACGUCCUUCGGGAGAAAGAUUUAUCGGAGAUGGAUGAGCCCGCGUUGGAUUAGCUAGUUGGUGGGGUAAAGGCCUACCAAGGCGACGAUCCAUAGCUGGUCUGAGAGGAUGAUCAGCCACACUGGGACUGAGACACGGCCCAGACUCCUACGGGAGGCAGCAGUGGGGAAUAUUGGACAAUGGGCGCAAGCCUGAUCCAGCCAUGCCGCGUGAGUGAUGAAGGCCCUAGGGUUGUAAAGCUCUUUCACCGGUGAAGAUAAUGACGGUAACCGGAGAAGAAGCCCCGGCUAACUUUGUGCCAGCCGCCGCCGUAACAC